UAGGCGACGAUCCGUAGCUGGUCUGAGAGGACGACCAGCCACACUGGAACUGAGACACGGUCCAGACUCCUACGGGAGGCAGCAGUGGGGAAUUUUGGACAAUGGGCGCAAGCCUGAUCCAGCCAUGCCGCGUGAGUGAAGAAGGCCUUCGGGUUGUAAAGCUCUUUCAGCCGGAAAGAAAACGCGCAGGUUAAUAACCUGUGCGGAUGACGGUACCGGAAGAAGAAGCACCGGCUAACUACGUGCCAGCAGCCGCGGUAAUACGUAGGGUGCGAGCGUUAAUCGGAAUUACUGGGCGUAAAGCGUGCGCAGGCGGUUUUGUAAGACAGAUGUGAAAUCCCCGGGCUUAACCUGGGAACUGCAUUUGUAACUGCAAGGCUAGAGUACGGCAGAGGGGGGUAGGAUUCCACGUGUAGCAGUGAAAUGCGUAGAUAUGUGGAGGAAUACCGAUGGCGAAGGCAGCCCCCUGGGUCGAUACUGACGCUCAUGCACGAAGCGUGGGGG
rnacentral:rRNA from 1 species